rnacentral:ribozyme from 1 species
GAAUGAUGGAGAGACAGAGAGAAAGGGAGACCGAAUGGGUAAGAGAGAGAGAGGGAGGGAAAGGGAAUCGGAAUAUUUCAACCAAGGAUCGAGGUUGUGUUCUUCUUCCCUCCCUCUGCUCUGUCUCGUUCAUCUUCUUUCUUUCUU